GGGUGCGAUCAUACCAGCGUUAAUGCACCGGAUCCCAUCAGAACUCCGUAGUUAAGCGCGCUUGGGCUAGAGCAGUACUGGGAUGGGUGACCUCCCGGGAAGUCCUAGUGUUGCACCCC
rnacentral:rRNA from 1 species